GACGAACGCUGGCGGCGUGCCUAACACAUGCAAGUUGAGCGACGAACCAGGGCUUGCCUUGGGGAAAAGCGGCGAACGGGUGAUUAACCCUUGGUUACCCUCCCCCGUUAACCGGGACACCCCGAGAAAACUCGGGUUAUUCCCGGUUUUCCUCCCUGACUUUCGGUUCUGUGGUUAAGGAAAGUUUCGCCCUCCGUUCCGGAGGGGCCCCGCGGCCCAUUAGUUUGUUGGUGGGGUAACGGCCCACCAAGCCCGCGUUGGGUAGCUGGUCUGAGAGGACGAUCAGCCACACUGGGACUGAGACACGGCCCAGACUCCUACGGGAGGCAGCAGUGGGGAAUCUUGCGCAAUGCGCGAAAGCGUGACGCAGCAACGCCGCGUGGGGGAAGAAGGCCUUCGGGUUGUAAACACCGUUCAGGAGGGACGAAGGUUCGGCGGUGAAUAGCCGUCCGGACUGACGGUACCUCCACAAGAAGCCCCGGCUAACUACGUG
rnacentral:rRNA from 1 species